GUAAGAUGCUAGAAAAGCAAGGUGCUAAAAUUGAUAAAGUUCUGAAUUUUGCAAUUGACGAUGCAAUCAUGGAGGAGAGGAUAACUGGUCGGUGGAUACAUCCUUCCAGUGGCAGGACCUACCACACAAAAUUUGCUCCUCCCAAGGUUCCGGGGGUUGAUGAUGUUACCGGAGAACCUUUGAUUCAGCGCAAGGAUGAUACUGCAGCUGUUCUCAAAUCUCGACUUUAGGCAUGCCAUAAGCAAACUGAACCGGUGAUUGACUACUACAAAAAGGUAAUAGUUGCAAAUCUUCAUACUGAAAAACCUCCUAAGGAUGUGACGGCCGAGGUUGAGAAGGUUUUGUCUUCUUGAAGAUGGUGCUGCCACCUGAGAAUUCCAACAAUUAUACUGAAUUUUACAGGAUGAACCUUUGAGUUGCUGGUUCCAUUGUUGUAUAAUUGAAUGUGGCGGCUGUUGUCAAAUUGUUGAGGGAUUUUUCUUAUGAUCCCGAAAUAAAGUUCAGGACAGAAUUACUUGUCUGUGGUCGUUUCUUCUGUAAAUGCUAGAUUGGAUAAGCACCGAUGACAAUAAAGUGGGCCUUGAUUUGCUUGAUUAUGCCUUCCUUCCCUUGAAAUAUAGACUCCAUACUUCAUGAA